rnacentral:tRNA from 1 species
GCCUGGCUGGCUCAAUUGGUAGAGCAUGUGACUCUCAACCUCAGGGAGAUGAGUUUGAGCCCCAUGUUGGUCA